CCCGCUGCUGCCGACGGCCCGGGUGGCCGCCAGCUACCUGCUGGCCGGCGCGGACACGGCCGCGGGCGGCGACUGGUUCGACGCCGUUCCGCGGGCC
rnacentral:tRNA from 1 species